UCGGAUAUGGUGUAACGGCUAACAUUGCCGCCUCUCAUAUCGUGAGGUUCCCAAACGCGGCAGCUCGGGGUUCGAUUCCCCGUAUCCGAG